GAAACAAAUCCUUUUCUGGAUCUAACUGAUGAAGUUCAUUUUGACACUCAAUUUGGUAUGAUGGGGAUUGCAUUUCAUCCAAAAUUUUCGCAGAAUGGCCGUUUCUUUGCUUCGUUCAAUUGCGAUAAGCAAACAUGGCCUGGAUGUGCAGGAAGAUGCUCUUGUAACUCGGAUGUGGAUUGUGAUCCAUCAAAACUACCUUCUGAUAGUGGUUCACGGCCAUGUCAAUAUCAAUCAGUAUUCAAUUGUGAUAAGCAAAUAUGGCCUGGUUGUGCGGGAAGAUGCUCUUGUAACUCAGAUGUGAAUUGUGAUCCAUCAAAACUACCUUCUGAUAGUGGUUCUCGGCCAUGCCAAUAUCAAUCCGUUAUAGCAGAAUUUACUGCUAAUGGGACUGCAUCCCAGC
rnacentral:lncRNA from 1 species